AAUGAAGUGCCUGAUUAAAGGGUUACCUUGAUAGGGUAAAUUAAGUAACAAACGGUUACCUUUAUUA
rnacentral:tRNA from 1 species